rnacentral:rRNA from 1 species
GAUGAACGCUGACAGAAUGCUUAACACAUGCAAGUCAACUUGAAUUUGGGUUUUUAACUUAGAUUUGGGUGGCGGACGGGUGAGUAACGCGUGAAGAACUUGCCUCACAGCUAGGGACAACAUUUAGAAAUGAAUGCUAAUACCUGAUAUUAUGAUUUUAAGGCAUCUUAGAAUUAUGAAAGCUAUAAGCACUGUGAGAGAGCUUUGCGUCCCAUUAGCUAGUUGGAGAGGUAACAGCUCACCAAGGCGAUGAUGGGUAGCCGGCCUGAGAGGGUGAACGGCCACAAGGGGACUGAGACACGGCCCUUACUCCUACGGGAGGCAGCAGUGGGGAAUAUUGGACAAUGGACCGAGAGUCUGAUCCAGCAAUUCUGUGUGCACGAUGAAGUUUUUCGGAAUGUAAAGUGCUUUCAGUUGGGAAGAAAAAAAUGACGGUACCAACAGAAGAAGUGACGGCUAAAUACGUGCCAGCAGCCGCGGUAAUACGUAUGUCACGAGCGUUAUCCGGAUUUAUUGGGCGUAAAGCGCGUCUAGGUGGUUAUGUAAGUCUGAUGUGAAAAUGCAGGGCUCAACUCUGUAUUGCGUUGGAAACUGUAUAACUAGAGUACUGGAGAGGUAAGCGGAACUACAAGUGUAGAGGUGAAAUUCGUAGAUAUUUGUAGGAAUGCCGAUGGGGAAGCCAGCUUACUGGACAGAUACUGACGCUAAAGCGCGAAAGCGUGGGUAGCAAACAGG